rnacentral:tRNA from 1 species
GGGCAGGUACCAAAGUUGGUCAAAUGGACGGCACUGUAAAUGCCGCGGCUCUGCCUUCGAAGGUUCGAAUCCUUCCCUGCCCA